AGAGAGAGAGAGAGAGGGAGAGAGAGGAAAAGAAAGAGCGGAAAAGAGAGUAGGAAAAGAAGGCCGCGCGUGUUCCGCAGUAUUCCACCAUUCUACAUCGUUCCACUCCAUUCCUGUAGGUACGCCGCGCACCCCCGUAUUUCCUCCCCUUUGGGUUCGCACGUUAUUGAGCGCUCGCCCAGCCGAGGCGAGACCCAACCCAUCCACAUCCUCUGUUCACCCCUGUACAUUCUGACGAGAGUGAGAACGAGAGAGAAAGAGAAAGAGAGAGAGAGAGAAAGAGACAGAGAGAGAGAGAGAGAGAGAGAGAGAGAGAGAGAAAGGAAAAGCGAGUAGAAGGGAUAGAAGGGAAGGGUAAGUAGGGAGGAAGAGAGAUACAGGACGAAGAGGAUCGACCCUCGACGGCUUUCGUUAAACGGGAGAGGGGUGAGAAAUAGAGAUGGAUAGAGAAAAUGAGAGGAAGACAGAGGGAAAGAGUGAGUGAGCGAGUAAGCGAGCGAGUGAGUGAGUAAGUGAGUGAGAGAGAGAAAGAUAGACAGAGAGAGAGAGAGAGAGAGAGAGAGAGAAAGUCGAGAAAAUGGAAAAUUCAGGAGCUCUACGUCGACGGGGGUGGAAAACCGCCGAACAUCCCAUUCUUCGAUUCAGCCCGCCGGCGCCAUGCGAGAUUUGUUUUAAAAUCCUUUUACAAUUCCGUGGGCGAGCGUCGACCCGCGUGCUAUAACCACUUGGACCACCCCUCGCUCUUCUAGCUCUAUCUCUCUCUCUCUCUCUCUCGCGCGCGCUCUCAGAGAACGGGGUUUGGUCUAUGUAGAUUGCGUGCGAAGAGGCUCCCAGGUAAUCCUCGCCGCUUUAUUUUGCACUCGACACUGAGCGCAAAAAAGAAAAAGAAAUAGAGAGGAAGCGACGAUUCGUGAAUAACGAAGAAAAUUCGAAACAAAAACGGACUCGACUGUGUUCAACUCUCUCGUAGGAAGGAAUCUCCUUGUUCUUCGACAAGGGAGAGUCGCGUGCGAUGAUAAUCGGCGAGCGGUCUAGGCCAUGGAACAACCUCGUGGAGGUGCUCGCUAGUACACAGACGCAUGAAAGGACGAAGGAAGAGCGAACGAGGAACGGCCAAUCGGAGGACAACCUCCCCGGGGACGCGUCGUUGCCAUGGUUGCGUCCGAACCCUCUUAGGCCUUCUGCCGGAUCCCUCGCAGCUCGCCGAGAGACUCGUCCGCGUCGCGCGCGCUACCUAUACGUUACUUCCUCACCCUCUAUUUUCCUCUUUCUAUCUGACUUGCUUUCUCUUUUUCUCUCUUUCUCUCUUUCUCUACAUACGCCCAAAACUCUACCCUUAUCUGUGUUCUCACUCUCUACGCAUGUAUAUGUAUAUGUAUGAAAUUUGGCAUGGUGGUUCCACCAUUUGCUUGGCCGCCGUUCAGUACGCUCUAUUUCCUUCUUCUUCUUUUUUCUUCUUCUGUUCUUUUUCUUUCAUUUGUUUCCCUCUUUUUUUUGUUAUCUUUGAUUAUCCAUUUAUUUUGUCAACUUUCUUUAAUUCAUAUUUUCAUCUUCAUUUUUCUAAUAGUAUUCUUUCCUAAGUAAAUAUCUUUAGCCAUUCCGUCAUUCUUUACUAUCUCCAUUUUAUUUUAUUUUUUUGUCAUUUUGUUUUCUAGAUUUUAAUUCGAGAUAUCUAAAUAUUCGUACUUUUAAUACUACUAUCCAUCCAUUUUUAUGUACGCAUCCAUUGAUUUUUGUCUUUACAAUGCGCAACGUGGAACUUCCAUCCGUUCAGGGAAUCGACCAUCGGUCGAAACGGUCGACUCAUCCCUUUCUCUUUCUCACUUUCUCUCUCUCUCUCUCUCUCUUCUCUUUCUCUCCCUUUCUUGUUUCCUCUUCCUCCGCUUGUUCUUUCCCUCCCUGUCUGUCUCCCCUAGUCUUUCCCUCUUUCUCGCCCUCUCGCUCUCCUGGCACUCCCGGUUUCCUGCACUUAGCAAGAUCAAUACCAGCCAACGAGGCUUGAAAACAUGCGUCAACAUGGUCUUGCACUGUUUGUACGUCCACAUAACGCUCCGCGCACGGCUACUAGAGGCACGCCAACCACCACCACCACCACUUCCACCACUUCUACUACUACCAUCUCCACAACCACCACCACCGGCAACAUCACCACCCCUGGCCGGCCACUUCGCCACCCUCCAUCGUUGAAACAGGUGACGACGCACCAAGCGAAGAGAAGAGAAAAGGGAUUAGCCGUUGCUGCUGCUGAUACCGAUGUUGAUGUCGAUGCCGAUACCGAUACCGAUGCCGAUACCGAUGCCGAUGCCGAUACCGAUGCUCAUUCAAUUAGCUUCCUCUCUCAUCGGGAUAGGGAAAUCUCCAGAUGAAAGGAUGCCGCCAUCCAAUUAUUAUUACAUGAAACGGUUUCCAUAGCUCUUCGCUCCCUCUAUCCAGACACGGUCGUCUUCACCUUGCACAUCGCGGUCGAACCACUGGCUAACUCCUAAAGUUAUAACGAGCCACGGGGAACGAUUAAAGAAGAAGAAAAAAGAAAAUUCAUAUUCUCGAUUUUAUUAACCAAAACUAACUUGAACUGGGAAACUACGAGGAAAAACGGACUAUAAAACCUCUGUGAAGAAUAAAAUGAAGGAGGUGAAAAGGAGAGAAAAGAAGAAGAAGAAGAAGAAGAAGAAGAAGAAAAAGAAGACAAAAUAACACCAUCUUUCUUCUUCUCUCGAAGCAAUUAAAAUGACAGCCAAGACUUGGAGAGUUCUUUUCCACGUAAAGAAUCAAUGAAUAUUCAUACGGGUGCCCAGUUUAAUAAGCGAGUAUGUAGAUCUGUCCAACGUUCCACGAUCUUACCAUUCGCGUUUCCUUUAAUUUAUGCAACGAGAUACAUCAAAUUAUAAUUCUCUUUUUCUCUUUCUUUCCCUAUACCUUCUUUCUCUCUCUCUCUUUCCCUCUCUCUCUCUCCCUCUUUCUCUCACUCUCUCUCUUUCUCUUUCUCUUUCUCUUUUCUUUCUCUUUCUCUUUCUCUUUCUCUUUCUCUCUUUCUCUUACUCUUUCACUAACGGUAGCACGGUUAACGACGUGAGGUACCAACACCGACCAAAAAGCUUUAAUUAAAAAAAAAAAUUAAAUGUUCCAACUUUUAUUGCUUUUUUUGUUGGAAAAAAAAAUGGGGGACUCAUAUAUUCAGAUAGUU